rnacentral:sRNA from 1 species
GGAGAACCAAAAAAGAACGAGAGGAACCAGAGAUUAGAGAUAAGCAGUUAGAAAGUACACAUGGAAAUUUCUGGAUGGAACUAGACCUUAAUACUUUUCGUAGAAAUUAAAGCUCUACUUCAAUAAUCAAAAUUAUGGGAAAAAUAAUAAUAAAAAAAAGAUAUUUAAUGAUCACAAGUUGAACUACAGUAAAAAUGUGCAACGGAAAAAGAAUGCUCCCAAGUCUGGAAGGAGGAUAUUUUGGAUAUCACAGAAAUCACAGAAAGAAGCACAUAUGUAGCCUUUGCUUCUCUUGUGAUGUCAUCAUUACUGGGAAUCGGUCGGAGCAAUUAUACAAUCAGGCCCGGCCCGGCCCGGCCCGGCCCCGUCCGGCGCUGCGAGCAUUAUAUCGGCUGUUCGUCUCGGCUGUGCAUAUAUCCCCAUUAAAGUGACAGUGGCGGGGCAUCAAUUCAGUGUUUUCUCAUCUUGUUUUUCUUGCGUGUAGGAUAAAUCUGAAAUAAAAUAAAAUAUCAUCAUGCAUAUAAAUCGCAAAUUGACAAAGUAAACCCCAAUCCAAUCCGAUCCGACCCAACCCAAACCGAGCUGAUUGUUGAUUGCUGUGUGAUUUUUUCCAUGAUUUCAGUGCUAGAGCUGCAGCUGGAGCUGGAGCUGGAGCUGUGGUUUGGUUUGGCGUGGCCUUUGCUCUAUUAAUUUGUGUUAAAAUUGAUUUUAAUAAAUAAACACUUUGAAUCGUU